rfam:Felis catus isolate Cinnamon breed Abyssinian chromosome B4, whole genome shotgun sequence.
GCCUGGGUGGCUCAAUCGGUUGAGCGUCUGACUUCGACUCAGGUCAUGAUCUCACUGUUUGUGAGUUCAAGCCCCACGUCAUGCU